AUUGAACGCUGGCGGCAGGCCUAACACAUGCAAGUCGAGCGGAUGACGGGAGCUUGCUCCUUGGUUCAGCGGCGGACGGGUGAGUAAUGCCUAGGAAUCUGCCUGGUAGUGGGGGACAACGUUUCGAAAGGAACGCUAAUACCGCAUACGUCCUACGGGAGAAAGCAGGGGACCUUCGGGCCUUGCGCUAUCAGAUGAGCCUAGGUCGGAUUAGCUAGUAGGUGAGGUAAUGGCUCACCUAGGCGACGAUCCGUAACUGGUCUGAGAGGAUGAUCAGUCACACUGGAACUGAGACACGGUCCAGACUCCUACGGGAGGCAGCAGUGGGGAAUAUUGGACAAUGGGCGAAAGCCUGAUCCAGCCAUGCCGCGUGUGUGAAGAAGGUCUUCGGAUUGUAAAGCACUUUAAGUUGGGAGGAAGGGCAGUAAGCUAAUACCUUGCUGUUUUGACGUUACCGACAGAAUAAGCACCGGCUAACUCUGUGCCAGCAGCCGCCGUAAUAC
rnacentral:rRNA from 1 species